rnacentral:rRNA from 1 species
GAUGAACGCUAGCGGCAGGCCUAAUACAUGCAAGUCGAACGGUGUCUUCGGACAUAGUGGCGUACGGGUGCGUAACACGUAUGCAACCUACCUUACAUUGGGGGAUAGCCUUUCGAAAGGGAGAUUAAUACCGCAUAAGACAGUAACUAGGCAUCUAGUAGCUGUUAAAGAUUUAUCGAUGUAAGCUGGGCAUGCGUCCAAUUAGCUAGUUGGUGAGGUAACGGCUCACCAAGGCAAUGAUUGGUAGGGGAACUGAGAGGUCAAUCCCCCACACUGGCACUGAGAUACGGGCCAGACUCCUACGGGAGGCAGCAGUAGGGAAUAUUGGGCAAUGGACGCAAGUCUGACCCAGCCAUGCCGCGUGCAGGAUGAAGGCGUUAUGCGUUGUAAACUGCUUUUAUACAGGAAGAAACGACUCUUGCGAGAGGCAUUGACGGUACUGUAUGAAUAAGCACCGGCUAACUCCGUG